UCGGAUUUUGCUUCCCGAAUGGGGGCGCGGUAACGCAGUCGUACUAGCAAAAUCGGAAAGAUCCCUGGUCAUUCAGGAAUACACUACUCUCUGUAUUAGUUCAUCUUUACCUCGGAAUGAAUUGACUCGCUUUUGUAACAGCUGUUUUUUUUGUUUGUUUUUUUUCCAGGCAAAUUUUAAUCUGUUUAGUUUGCCCAGUUCGAGUGAACGUGCGAGCUGUAGGAUUACUGGCCGCUGUCUUGACUGCUGAUGAAGCCUUUGGACUAAAUUUCGGAAAUAUACAGGUUGGAAGCUGAGAGGUUAUUUUUAUUAUAAGAUUACUGAUCACCUUGAGAACUAUGAUGAUGCUUCCCAGGGCUAUUACUGUAACUCUGCAUUGGUGACUGUGGGAAACAGGUUUGAUCAAGAUGUCAUUAACAGCCUGAUACAGAAUGUCACAAAUGGUGACAGGCUUUACUUUUGGAUGGCUCUUUAGGACAGAACAGGAGAGUACAGAAACAGAACAGGAGAGUACCGCUGGCAAACACAGAAAGGAUCCUUUCAGCUUGUUCACUAUACAAAUUGGAACAAAUAUCAGCCAGUAUUUACAGGCAGAUGGUCUGAGGGCAAAUGCAAUGGUCGUCAUCCUUACAUCUGUGAGCGUAAAACAGUUUCUGUUGUUGCAAUUCCAAGAGAACCUCACCUCAAAGGAGGCUGUCCAGAACGAUGGCUCUAUUUUGGACACAAGCAGGAUGGAAUUAACUGUCAAUGGUCAGAUGGCAGUGAUGCCUUUUUUACUCACUGGGUUGAUGCCGAUGGAAUACAUGUACUUGGUGAUUGUGUAGAUGGACAUGAAUGGUAACUGGAAAAGCACUGACUGUGAAACACCACUCCAAGGGGCUGUGUGCCAUGUGUCUCGUGAAAGGAAACCAAUUUCGUACAAAAUGGAAUGUCCAAAAACAUGGUUAAAGUUUCAAAGCAGUUGCUACAGUUUCCAGCCUGUUAUAAGGAGGCUGGAUUUGGAAGAAUCGCGUGAAUAUUGCAAACUGAAAACAAACAUGUAUUGACGACUGAAGAGGAAGAAUAGCACAGAUUUGUUUUAGAGGAACUACAAUCCUUUGGACCUUCCCGUCAGACUAUUUGGCUUGGCAUCAUAUUUAGCACUGACAGUAAGCACAAAUAUCUAUAGGUGUGUGUACCAUAGAUUGCAAAGCAAUACUGAAUGCUUAAAAUAAAUAAAUAAAUCUCAUCUAUAAUGGACUUGUUGCGGAACUGAACAGCGUUUUUGGCAGAAAUCGCCCAACCUCAUUAAUUAUGAAUACACAGAACUGUGUAGUCCCUUCCUGAGGCAGUUUGACUCUGAGUAUUAGUAAUUCACUUACAAACAGGAUUCAGGAUUACAGAAAUGUUUUGUUCAAUUAAGCAGCAUAUAGUAGAUUCAGUACAUGAAUAAGCAUACUAAAAAGAAGCCAGUUUGUAGGUAGAGGAAAGCAUACCUCUGGAACAGUCUAUUAACAUACAGUGCUGUGUUAUUGCAAAUAAAUCCCAGCAAAAUAAAGUGUAGUAAUGAACUGUCCUACACUGCUUUUAAAACAAUAAAAAAAAAAAACAUUAAGAUCAUAUACAUUACAUACAAUAAAGAAAACUUGUUCUUGCCAUAGGGUCAGGUUAGCCUCUACACAGCAGCCACCAUCUUUUACCUUAGACAUGUCCUUUGACCUCUCUCACUGAAUUAACAACAUAUGUGAACAUAUAUAAUUUUUUUUACCUAUGUAUUAUAAAGCUUUUGUAUCUACAUUGUUCAAAUAUAUUUAAAUCAAAAUGCAACACAAUUGCAAACAAAAUAAACAAUUACGAAAAAGGGGGGUGUCAAUUUGUAACUGAAACUUUUUGCAAAAUUCAAUUUUUGCUUUCUCUAGCACAGUAUGUUGCCUUUUACACAGACUCAUUUAAAUAGCUCCACUAACUUUAUGCACAACAAUUAGGAAGUCACUAAAUAUUGCUGGGUUCUGUUGAAGAUUCAUGUGUUUUUUUUUUGUUUUUUUUUUAAACCUUUCUAAUUUUCUUCUAUCCUAGAGGACACAUUGGAGUGGUUUGACAGCUCACCUAUUAAGUAUUUGAACUGGUUUCUCAAAGCACCACAUAUGGAUCCUCUUACUAUUGAUAGCUGCGUUUCAAUGAGGUCUUCAGAUGGCAGCUGGCAUUUGUCUCACUGUGAUAAAAAGCUAGGAUUAAUUUGUAAAAUUGUAUGGAGGUAGGCUUUACCUGUGACUGAAACAUACAUUAUGUUUAUAACUUUGUUACUGGUAUGUUUAUAAUGAGACAGCAGCUGUUUGUCUUUUGCUGUUGUAGGUAUCAGAAGAGAAACUAGCUGCUGAUAUUUUGCUAGUAGAGCUGUCAGAUUAGUAAAAACUGCUGGUUCAGUAUGUUCCCAUAGUGCUGUUUUUGCCAGAGUUCAGCACUAAACAGAAAGCAUGGCAAUGGAAAUAUACAGGCCAUUUAUUUCACUCUGCUGAAUCAUGAAUAGGUAAUAGACUCAAAGCAUUUUACUCAAAUUCAAAAACUGGUUUACAUAUAAAAUUAUAUUUUUUGUUUUGUCAGACGUAAGUAGCGAUGUAGAGGUGGAACCCAUCUGAGGUGUACUACAGACUAACAAGUUUGGAGGCUGCGGAUUCAGAAGGAAAUAUUCUUAUUACAUAUCUUGAUGUGAAUACUGUAUUUUAAAAUCUCCUUGAGCAGUAAUGAAAUUGCGAUCUGUUAAGCGAACUGUGUCACAGCAGAUAGCAGGAUCAAGCAGGGCAGUGUGGUUGCAUGUUGCAUUUGAGGAGCCAAUCAUCAAAAAGCAUAGAUCCUGAUCUGCACAAUCCUGGAAGAACAGCUGAGAACCAAAGAAACAGAAAUGCAGGACUAGGCCGCCAGAGCAGCCAUUCUCAAUUUGAUGACAGGACAAGCAGAAGUUCAGAAUUGUUAUACAAAUGUAAGCAAGAGGUUUGUUAAUUUUUUUAUAUAAAGUGGUGCUGCAUCAAUGAAGUAUUGUUAGCACUGUAACUUUAGCAAGCUAUAGAUUAUGUUCCCCAUGGUUUAACCCUUAAGAAUGGACACAAUAUACACAAACCCUGUGUGACGGAGAGCGAAUGAAUCCGAAUCAAAAAUCUCCCUCUC